UNACACAUGCAGUCGAGGGGUAUUGGUUUUCGGACCAAGAGACCGGCGCACGGGUGCGUAACGCGUAUGCAAUCUACCUUUUACAGAGGGAUAGCCCAGAGAAAUUUGGAUUAAUACCUCAUAGUAUUACGACUCGGCAUCGAGAUGUAAUUAAAGUCACAACGGUAAAAGAUGAGCAUGCGUCCCAUUAGCUUGUUGGUAAGGUAACGGCUUACCAAGGCAACGAUGGGUAGGGGUCCUGAGAGGGAGAUCCCCCACACUGGUACUGAGACACGGACCAGACUCCUACGGGAGGCAGCAGUGAGGAAUAUUGGUCAAUGGGCGCAAGCCUGAACCAGCCAUGCCGCGUGCAGGAUGAAGCAUCUAUGGUGUGUAAACUGCUUUUGUACGAGAAGAAACACUACUUCGUGAAGUAGCUUGACGGUAUCGUAAGAAUAAGGACCGGCUAACUCCGUGCCAGCAGCCGCGGUAAUACGGAGGGUCCAAGCGUUAUCCGGAAUCAUUGGGUUUAAAGGGUCCGUAGGCGGUUUUGUAAGUCAGUGGUGAAAGCCCAUCGCUCAACGGUGGAACGGCCAUUGAUACUGCAAGACUUGAAUUAUUAGGAAGUAACUAGAAUAUGUAGUGUAGCGGUGAAAUGCUUAGAGAUUACAUGGAAUACCAAUUGCGAANGGCAGGUUANCUACUAAUGGAUUGACGCUGAUGGACGAAAGCGUGGGUAGCGAACAGGAUUAGAUACCCUGGUAGUCCACGCCGUAAACGAUGGAUACUAGCUGUUCGGAGCAAUCUGAGUGGCUAANCGAAAGUGAUAAGUAUCCCACCUGGGGGAGUACGUUCGCAAGAAUGAAACUCAAAGGAAUUGACGGGGGCCCGCACAAGCNGGUGGAGCAUGUGGUUUAAUUCGAUGAUACGCGAGGAACCUUACCAAGGCUUAAAUGUAGAUUGACCGGUUUGGAAACAGAUCUUUCGCAAGACAAUUUACAAGGUGCUGCAUGGUUGUCGUCAGCUCGUGCCGUGAGGUGUCAGGUUAAGUCCUAUAACGAGCGCAACCCCUGUCGUUAGUUGCCAGCGAGUCAUGUCGGGAACUCUAACGAGACUGCCAGUGUAAACUGUGAGGAAGGUGGGGAUGACGUCAAAUCAUCACGGCCCUUACGCCUUGGGCUACACACGUGCUACAAUGGCCGGUACAGAGAGCAGCCACUGGGCGACCAGGAGCGAAUCUAUAAAACCGGUCACAGUUCGGAUCGGAGUCUGCAACUCGACUCCGUGAAGCUGGAAUCGCUAGUAAUCGGAUAUCAGCCAUGAUCCGGUGAANNCGUUCCCGGGCCUUGUACACANNNNNNGNCAAGCCAUGGAAGCUGGGGGUGCCUGAAGUCGNGACCGCAA
rnacentral:rRNA from 1 species